rnacentral:lncRNA from 1 species
CUUGUUUUCUCUCUCCAGACAUAAGCACGAAAUUUGUUGCGCGUGAUUUCAAACUGGGGGAGGGAGGUGGACGGGAAGGAGAAGUCUUUGUCGAAGGAGAGUUGGGAUGCCAGGCUUUCCGCUUCCACGGCGGAGCCGCGGUCCGGCAGCGCGUUCCGCGGGGAGCGCUCGGCCGAGCCGGGACGCGCCGGGACCGGGACGCGCCGGGACGCGCACAGCCCCCUAGCGCCGCCUGCUUCCCCCCUACUCCUUUUUCUAGGGAUGUCACUGCUCGUCCCAGCUCGCAGACAAAUUGCGUGUCGGGCACGGCGCGAUGCCACUGGUUUCUCCAAAACCAAUCGGCUUGAAUUUCUACGUAGACACCACCAAGAAAUUGUGCUCAGAUCAAGAUACUGCUGUUUUGGAAUUGCAAGUUAAUUGCCAAAAUGAUUUGGUGCAUGGUGAGAAUAAGGACAUGACUGGGAAAGCUACACUAGAGGAAACUGCUGUGACUAAAGGCCUAGCAAGAAACAAUGAGGCAGAAGAGGAAGAGGAAGAAGAGCAUGACUACAGCUAUAUUGAUGAAAACAUAAUUGAAAAUAUAAGAAAAGUAUUUCACAGCACCAGAAAUGAGCAUACACUCUCCAAAGGAAGAAGAGACAUCUGAAGGAAAAUAAUUCUGAAAUUAACUGGAAACAAGUAGGAAGCUGUGUCCUUCACACAUCAAGAUUGACCACAACUGUAAGAAAAAGCUGCUCAUGAAAGUGUCCUUCUUGACUCAUGGAGAGCAUACAAGGCUGUAAUUUAGCUAUAAUAAUCCCCUGUGAAACUAAACUGCUUACUUGUCCUAAAUAAGAAGUCAAACCAGCUAAUGUCUCAUGACCCUUUGAAGGGACAAAGCUCUUCUGUACAUAUUUAUUAGUGAAUUCAGAGAACGAUGCCAAGUCCAAUCCUUCAUUCUUAUUUGCACCUGAAAUUCCAGUUAUUUCCUGAACUUCUGUAGGGCAUAUGCAAAAGAAAAUUCCUUACUGAAACAGCUUCAUAGUUGCUUCCUCUGGGUUUUGGUUUUGGGUUUUUGUUGUUUUUCUUUUUGAGAAGAAAAGGGUAAUGAAGGAUUAUCUAAGGUGGACAUUCAUUUCUUUAGCCAGUUUUAUGUGCUUCAGGUUAAGGCUCAAACUGGAAAUGACCAGAUUCUGUCACUUUUUCACAUGAUGAAAAAAGCACAAGUAGUACCAUUGCACAACAUGUAAUUUGCCCUGGAAAGCAAAGUCACUUCUCUCACAAGGCCUGGGAGUGCCUAAAUUGUGUAGCAUUGCCAUCUUUAUAACCCUUUGUACUGCUAAUAUCCAGAAUCACACUAAAGUUAUUAUAUUCAGCAAUUUGCUGAAACUGCAGUCACAAAGAAUUUGUGUCCACACCAUCCCUAUCCCACCCAGGAUAGCUGCAUAACCCUCUGGCAAUAAUUUGACUUCCAGGGAAAAAUAUUAAGAACUGAUAUCUAAACACAUAGUUGAUGUGCCAGGGAUUUUCAGAGUCAACAGCAGCUUGAUCAG